AAACAUUGUUUCUCAAAUUGUUUCAUUCUUAGGCUCUGGUGAUAUGGAUGGAAUGAACAAGAAUUCCCCAAACAAUUUAAGUGGCAUUAGCAAUCCUCCUGGGACCCCAAGGGAUGACGGGGAGCUGAGUGGAAACUUCCUCCACUCCUUUCAGAGCGAGAACUACUCUCCAACCAUGACGAUGAGCGUGUGACCUCCCCUCCGCCCCACCCGACAUUAUUUGCCAUCAUUCCGAGGAUCUGAACUUACUAUAGGACACGGCCAAACACAUCAGCACCAAAUCAGGGACAGGCGCCAUUUUGGUUCCACACCAACGCCAGAAUGCUGAUCGGAGAAAAAUGGGAAUGGCUGGCGACCACUGCUCCUUGCUCAAAAUGAAGGACAAUUUCUCCAUUUAUCACGACCCCAAGUGUGACAAAACCAGCUACUGAAAAUGCAUACAUGACACGUUUUAUGUUCUUUGCAGAGCCCCCAUAAAACCCUCUCAGCCCCCCUCAACCCUAGAGCGAAGAGAGAGAAAAAAAAGGUUGAAGUUUACCUCUUGUACUUUUUAAUUAUUGCUUUGUGGUGCAAGAUGUGCAGGAAAUGUCUCCGCUUUUGUCACUUAAAACACUGGAGAGUGUGUAUAUGCAUUGUGAGCUUGGAACGUCUUUGUCUCGUCAUUUUACUUAUCGCCAUGCAUACUGUGUCACAAAAGUCAGUUGACAUAGGACUCAGAUUUUGCCUUUUACUCUGUGGCCACCUUUAUGAAUAAUGUACUAUUCUUCCCAACGCCCACCCUUCUAUUUAAAGAGGUCUGAAAAGACGGCUUUUAUUGUGACGACCUUUCACGGUAUGUAAGUGCUCAGAUGGUUCUUACAAUGUCAAUUUGAUCCCGUUUGAUCAAUUUCAGUCUCUUAUUUUGACAGCGAUGCGAUUCUGCACUCUCUGCUGUUUCAGUUUAAACAGCUAGGCUGCUGUUGCGUUCUGUCAAGGGAAACCAGACUUUGGCAUAAGAAGUGAGUGCAUGAAUGCUGAGAAUCUGUGUACAACAUACUACCUAGUGCUGCUCUUCUCUAUGUGGACACCUGCUUUAAGAUGUGGUGUAUAUCUCUUUACCUGUCUGUGCUUAACACUCUGUGCUCUUCAUCGUCGUAGCCUUCUGUGUUAUUUCCAGUUUGGUUGAUUAUGAUGAACUGGCUAUGAAUGAGCUGCCCAUUUUAAUCUCUCAUGCAUAUUGGUUGUUCAUAUUUCCCUCCUGUAUCAUUGGUCGUCCCCUUGGUCCUGCCCCCUCUUGCCCACCCACACAUUUUUUUUAUAUUUUGAUACAAUCUUUGACUACGUAUAUAUUGUCCCAGUUAUUCAGAGUUAGUCAAAGCUUUCUAAACCGAUUCUAGUAGGCAUCAUUAUAAACUUAGCGGCAGUGUUGUAAAUGUGAUGAGAAUUUUUUGUUUCUUUUUUUUCUUCCUGUGAACAUUACACAUUAUACACAUCUGUCCUAUGUUGCCUUUAUUUGCUGAUAUUUUUUUAUUUCAAAUUGAGGAAAGAUUGCUUGUUAAUAUAAUUUUACAAUAACUUAA